rnacentral:rRNA from 1 species
AACGAACGCUGGCGGCAUGCCUAAUACAUGCAAGUCGAACGAGAUCUUUUAGAUCUAGUGUCGCACGGGUGCGUAACGCGUGGGAAUCUGCCCUUGGGUUCGGAAUAACGUCGGGAAACUGACGCUAAUACCGGAUGAUGACACCAAAGAGAUUUGGAGCCCAAAGAUUUAUCGCCCAGGGAUGAGCCCGCGUAGGAUGAGCUAGUUGGUGGGGUAAAGGCCUACCAAGGCGACGAUCCUUAGCUGGUCUGAGAGGAUGAUCAGCCACACUGGGACUGAGACACGGCCCGGACGCCUACGGGAGGCAGCAGUAGGGAAUAUUGGACAAUGGGGGCAACCCUGAUCCAGCAAUGCCGCGUGAGUGAUGAAGGCCUUAGGGUUGUAAAGCUCUUUUACCAGAGAUGAUAAUGACAGUAUCUGGGGAAUAAGCCCCGGCUAACUCCGUGCCAGCAGCCGCCGUAA